rnacentral:misc_RNA from 1 species
UCUCCGUUGGUGAACCAGCGGAGGGAUCAUUACAGAGUUGCAAAACUCCCAAACCAUUGUGAACGUUACCUAUCCCGUUGCUUCGGCGGGCGGCCCGGGCCCCGCGCCCGGCGCCCCCCGGCCCCCCGUGGGCGCCCGCCGGAGGUAAACCAAACCCUUGAAUUGCAUGGCCUCUCUGAGUCUUCUGUACUGAAUAAGUCGAAACUUUCAACAACGGAUCCCUUGGUUCUG